CACAUUUUAAAUCAGCAGAAAUGAAUAUCUAUGUUAAGUCAAUUUAGAAGUCCUUUAGUAAUACAUAACUUUAUAAAGAUAUUAAUGGGUUAGUGCACUUACUUUUGAGCUGCUAUAUAUAAUUAUUGUUACAGGUAGGCAAAAGGAGAACUUUCCUUUAAACAGAUCAGAACAAAGUGAAGUUAAAUUUGUUAUUCCUCAUCGUCACUAAACAACUCCAAAAAAGUUUUUUGUUUCUUAAGAUUAUGUACAAUAUUUUAGAUGAGAUAUAAUCUUGGACUGAAAUAGUGAUGAAAUACUAGUGUUACAUCAUAACAUUAGGCUACUACUAGAGGACAGCGUAAUAUCUAUAGCAAAAAAAAUACAACAACAAAAAAGUAAUCAACAACAAUAACAGCUUUGUUUCGUAUUUCAAAAUGUUAGUCACAUACAUUGUCAAUUUACGGUAUUUGCAUAAUAUUGAGUAGCCCGCCUUUCUGAUGAUUGACACAUCACGUGACCAAUUUCGCUAUUUCAAAUGACUGCCUACUCUGACCUACAGUAACCCGUCAAUGAAUUUGCAAACAUAAUACGCGUGGCUCUGUUGGAAUGAGGUUAAUCCGGUUAAUUGCAAGGAUGGGCAUAUCAGGAGAUAAUGCAACUCAUCACCUAGGUCAUUCGAGGGGCAGAGCGGGCACCUUCUUUGGUUGUGUGGCACAUGACUUUGCGACCAUCUUCCAACCUCAAUAGGGAACCUAUGAUUGCCAGUUCGGAAAUGGAAUAAUGAUAAGCGCUGGGAACGUGAACACAGCGAGUUGUUUUAGAUGUACUAGGCAAGAGGAAACAUUUAUCACACAGGAACACAAUCCCCGGCUGCUCCUAGCACGAGGAUACGUCUGGGGAGAUUGGACAGGCAGUUGAGUGCGGGGUACCAGAUUUACCUGCGGAGCCAGUGGUCUCAGACCCCGUAGCGCUAGAAAUUUCCGGUUUCUGUGGCUCUGGGAGAUGCUCCUGCAAAGGUGCAUGAACUGCCGUUAGAUAACCGGGUGCGGAACUUGAAAUGUCGGGGUUCCCUGAUUUCCUCAGUUGCUUUUGGGGAGUUAUGGUUGACAACGAGGGGCGGAGGUUGGAAGUCAUUGUUCUCCUCUUCGUCGGAUUGCUCGUCGAUGAUGAUAUCUUGUUCUUUUGGCAGAUUCUUCAUAACAUGCCUCAGUGUUGCAUCAACGGUCAUCUAAACGUAAGAAAAUGUCAUGCAAAUGGACAUCAAAAUGUUGACACGGACCGGUAUUUGAGAUUUAAAGUUCAGGAUAUGACUUCAUAAAACUGGUGGAUAAAUCGAAAUGGAAGUAUUUUGCAAUGGCAAGUAAACAGUUGUGUCUCUUUGGAGAAACGAUGAUACAGUAUUUACGUCUGCAUUCAAACGAUGCUAUUCAAGAUAACAGAAAACUCAAAGAAGCUGACAUUUGGCGGUUUGAGAAAAGAAAUUUACUUUUGCAUGACGGGAAAAAUGGUGUUUGCAUGCAUAUUUUAUCGGAAGCAGCUGCAAAACUACGGUUUAGGAAACUGUUUUUGAAAUGAUGUUGUGGUAGCCUAUUUGACAAUCUCGGUCCGCCUCGGCGGGACGAUAUUACGAUAGAGUUUUAUAUGAAAAUCUACGAAAAAGUCCGAAAAUCUCACUUGUGGAGAAAAGAGACUUGAUUAAUAAGUUCCCGCUAAGGAAUAAAUUCUUUGAGUCGAACCAGCAGCUGUAUGAAUACACUCUAGCUAGAAUAAAGUCUGCGUUAGACCAGCUGCAAUUUUUUUACCGUCAUCUGAAGAUCGUAUCCAGCUACUCUACCUAACUGUGACCGCCAUUUCUCUGUCGGGGCUUAAACUCCGAGGCUCUUGAUCCAGAGGCGAAUGCCCUACGACUGAGCUAUCAUAACUUAACGAUUCCACUUUCAGUGAUGUAAUUUUGUCUAAUGGUAAAAAAUGUUUACGACGUUGAAUCGACAACGGCCGCAUACUAUCGUUUUUACAGAGUUAAUGUACAAAGCCACUACUACAGACGAUAAUUCAUAUUGGAAGCGAGGCAAGCUCCAGCACGAAGGUAACCACAGAGACAGUUUACUGAGGUACUGACAGGCUCUUCUGUUUUUAUAUGAAAUAGAGGAACUUCCAGUCGCUGCAGCGCACAAUGAGCAAGGCAAACACCAGGGGCCAUUUGAACAGUCUGUGACUUAGUUACUUUUUCUUGAGGAAUGUUGUCAGUGCAGUAUACAAAUCGAAAAAAUGACUUAUUUUCUGUGACAAGUUUUGCUUUAUACGACGAUAAUUAUACCAACAUAUCAAGGAUUGAUUUGUUAAGUGAUUUCAACCAAAACAAUGCAUCAAAAGAAUGGAAUGUAUUUCUACAGAGCCAAAACUGCGAACUAUUUAAAUCCGUUAUUUUCUACCAUUUUUUCGCGCCAUUUUCUUAUUUGAUAUUGUCUGUAUACCUACAAUUCUGCACGUUUGAAACAAAUAGUUUUGCAGUGCAGAAUUUCAUUUAACUCUGGUUUUUUUAACCGAAGAAAGUCAGUAUUUAAAAAGAUAAGAUCGUAUGCUUGAUUUAUUGUAGGACCGAUUUGGUCUUAAUUUCUUUUUAAAGUGCCACUUAUAAAAGUUCGAAAAUUUCCGAUGGUAUGAUAAUCAGUAGAUUGAUCCAACUUCUCAAGAAAAAUGGUGUAAUAUCGUUGAUAUUGAUAAUGCUGAAUAGAAACAAUUAUAUAGCUUGGUUUACAUGACGUGUAAUGAUACAUAUUUACAAUGGUUACAAACUAGAAUUUCUCAUAGAAUAUUAGGUACCAAUGUUUUGUUAAUAUUCAAAAUGAACAAGACUAUAACCGAAUAUUGUACAUUUCGUAAACGUGAAAAGGAAACUCUAGUUCAUUUAUUUCGGGAAUGUGGUCAUGUAAAAGACUUGAUCACAGAAAUUGAAAAACUUUCCAAGACUUAUGAUGAUAACUUAAGUUUUUUACUAAUUGUAAAUCUUUUAUCUUGUGUUAUCCAGGAAAAACUGUUGGUAAUUAUAACGUGUUUAAUGUUGUGUUUAGAAAUUAAAGAAUUAAAAAAAAUACAUAUUCCUCUGUAAAAGAAGAGAUGUUAUUCCAUCUUUACAGGUUUUAAACUUGCUACCGAAAUAAUCAAUAAAACAAGAAGAGUAGAUAAAUAAAAGGGAUGGGCUAUUGCAGAACUUCUAAGCCAUUAAAAGAAGUAUACUGAUGCUUUAUUCGACAUUUAAUUUGAAUUCCUGUUUAAGUACAAACUUAUUAGUGUGGAGAAGAAACCUUUUAUGUGAAAAAGUGUAUAUCUUGUUGAGAAGUUUGUCAUCAUCAUGUUGUUCUCUCGUAGCAAAUAUUUUUUGAAUGAUAUUUUAAGCAUUGUUGGUAUGCAUAUUGUAAAUGUUUAUAUUAUAUGCAACAUUCAGAAUUAGAUAGACUUAGAACUGAAAUAUAGUUUUAAAAGCAUAUAGAUAAUGGAUUGAAAAUUUAUAAAAAUGGGUAGAAUUACAUUUUUUUUAUAAUCAGUAAUGUAGAAUCGAAUAGUAAUAUUUAUAUGAAAUUGUUUACUUAAACCGUGUUAUCAGUUAUGUCAGUUGAUAUAUGUAUACUAUUCAAAGACGUGGGAAAUAACAGUUCAAAUAUAAACGUUUUUAAAAAAGUAUCAGGGAUUCUUAAAAUGAAAAUUAAAAAAAUAUAAACAAUUCGUAUUACUUUACUAUAAUGCCAUGUAUGUCCGAGUUAAUCAAACAUAGCUCCCAGACACAUAUAUAUUAUUUAUUUUUUUAAAUGACAUCCAAUAAAGGGCGGUAACAAUUAAGAUGGAAUUUAACAUUCAUUUUUGAUGUGCGAUAGAAAAAAAAUGUUUCGACAAUACGUGAGAAAUAAGUAAGCAUAUAAGACAAUAAAAUAUAAUGGUUUGAAGAAUAUACAAAAACCUUAGGUAUUUUUAAAAAAUACGCAAUAUAUAUUUAUGAAAAAUAUCUUGCAUUAGUCAAGUGCAAAAUGCCACAAUCAUGAUGAUAGUUUUCCGGUACGUAAUUUCGGAAUGACUAACUUACAUAAUUUAUCACAAGUCUUUAGAUAUGAAUUAUCACUGGACAAUCAUAUUGGAUAGAAUCAGCUGACGGUAAGCUCUACUAUACCUAUCUCGUUAAUACAUCCCGAAUCCAAUCGUCUCUACUUCGAAUAGGAUUGUUGAAUUUCCAUGAAACUGGCAAUUGUCUGGGUUCAUAAGCAGUGGUUUCGGGAUGUCUUCUGUCUCAGUUUCACUCACUUCCGUUGUGGCAACGAUGCCGGUUUUAUAAGAAACGCCUUCCAAGUUUGCACGGAACACUUGCUGUAUUUUUCUGUCAUCUUUUAACUCAGGUCUGCGCCGUUUGAAAUCACGAGAUGCCUGGCGAGAAGCUUUAGCCACUCGUUUUUUUUGUCAAGAUUACCGAAUCGAUCGGCAGUAGCUUUUCCCGGCGUUAAUUUGUGUUCCUCAUCCGCCUAUAUUGUGAGGAAACAUAAUACAAAUGCAAA